rnacentral:rRNA from 1 species
AUUGAACGCUGGCGGCAGGCCUAACACAUGCAAGUCGAACGGUAACAGGAAGAAGCUUGCUUCUUUGCUGACGAGUGGCGGACGGGUGAGUAAUGUCUGGGAAACUGCCUGAUGGAGGGGGAUAACUACUGGAAACGGUAGCUAAUACCGCAUAACGUCGCAAGACCAAAGAGGGGGACCUUCGGGCCUCUUGCCAUCGGAUGUGCCCAGAUGGGAUUCGCCAGUAGGUGGGGUAACGGCUCACCUAGGCGACGAUCCCUAGCUGGUCUGAGAGGAUGACCAGCCACACUGGAACUGAGACACGGUCCAGACUCCUACGGGAGGCAGCAGUGGGGAAUAUUGCACAAUGGGCGCAAGCCUGAUGCAGCCAUGCCGCGUGUAUGAAGAAGGCCUUCGGGUUGUAAAGUACUUUCAGCGGGGAGGAAGGGAGUAAAGUUAAUACCUUUGCUCAUUGACGUUACCCGCAGAAGAAGCACCGGCUAACUCCGUG